rnacentral:rRNA from 2 species
UAAUACCAGCUCCCCGAGUGGUCGGGACGAUUAUUGGGCCUAAAGCAUCCGUAGCCUGUUCUGUAGGUCUUAUGUUAAAAUCAAUUGCUCAACAAUUGAACUGCAUGAGAUACCACAAAACUAGGAGGCGGGAGAGGUGGACGGUACUCCACGGGUAGGGGUAAAAUCCUCUGAACCGUGGAAGACCACCAGUGGCGAAGGCGGUCCACCAGAACGCGCUCGACGGUGAGGGAUGAAAGCUGGGGUAGCGAACCGGAUUAGAUACCCGGGUAGUCCCAGCUGUAAACGAUGCAAGCUAGGUGAUGCAUUAGCCACGUGUUAAUGCAGUGCCGCAGGGAAGCCGUUAAGCUUGCCGCCUGGGGAGUACGGUCGCAAGGCUG